rnacentral:rRNA from 1 species
UUAAUCGGAAUUACUGGGCGUAAAGCGCACGCAGGCGGUCUGUCAAGUCGGAUGUGAAAUCCCCGGGCUCAACCUGGGAACUGCAUUCGAAACUGGCAGGCUUGAGUCUUGUAGAGGGGGGUAGAAUUCCAGGUGUAGCGGUGAAAUGCGUAGAGAUCUGGAGGAAUACCGGUGGCGAAGGCGGCCCCCUGGACAAAGACUGACGCUCAGGUGCGAAAGCGUGGGGAGCAAACAGGAUUAGAUACCCUGGUAGUCCACGCCGUAAACGAUGUCUAC